AAGUUUUACCAUGACCCGGAAGGAAAAUAGGAGAAUGUAGUGCCUUGUUUAAAUGCACUGAUUUGUCUGUGCUAAUUUAUUCAGGGUGACUUGUGACAGCUUAAAUGAAAGAUCAGACAUUUUACUUUAUUGCCAUUUGUUUUUGUCCUCAAUCUGCACAUGCUAUUGACUCCAGCCUUUCAUGAUUUGACCCCAAGUUCAAGGCUGUUUAGUGUAUUUCAGCUCAAAAAUUCCGGUGACCGUUGUUGACAGUGGAUACAGCAAAAUUGAAAUGCUCGAUCCAGACCGAUAUUUUGCUGGCUUGGAGAAUGACUGAUGGUGACUGGGGAGGUGUAUCUUUGCACAUACAGCAGAAUCAGAAGCCUUCACAUCCAAUGUUGUGUUUCAACAAGUCGGUCUGAUGUUGGCAGUGUGUGCACCCUCCUUUCACCUUGAUAUCCUCUACCACCUUGAACAAGUUGUGGUACUUGAACAUGCUCAACCUUCAAGAAAUAGAAGCAUUGGUGUUAUUUCAAAUGACAUCACGACUGCCUUAGAUUAAAACUUGAAGGAGGUGACAUUCCCCAGAAAAGUUGUUCACCAUCCCAUCCCAUGUUGGGUUGCCCCCCAGUCCAGAUCAACAGUUUGUUGAGGAAAAGCUUGGAAUUCAGUUGAUGCCUAUUCUUGCUGUGAAGAGGAGCAAUCUGAACUGAAGGGGAGAACAGACUCCAAACAAGAGUAGAUGUGAUGACACCAAGAAAGAGCAGCCACAUAUUACCUCAAGAGGUUAACCGGAAUGCAAAUCAACAGAAUAUGAUGCUGACCAAGUACCAGGAAGAGGUGUCCCCAUCACUGUAGAUGACAAGUGAUGACAGUUAUCUUGAUGGACUACAGGAAUGAUUCAAGUGCAUUCAUUAUGCAGUUUACUGAUUUGUUUGAUGUAUUUUGAUAAUUGUUCUGGCAUUCUGAUGUCAGCUGAGUAACACCUCCAUAAUGGAGACAAAUUAAGGAACUUCUGUUUUGAAGCAGUAAAAUAGUCUCAACAAGAAUUUUUAUUUAUUUUGCCAGCAGAACAGAAGUUUCCAUUAAUUUUCCCACACAAACAUUUUGUGCUUUUCUGUUCCCCAUUUGUGCUUAUUGUCCUGCUGAACAAUUGGACCACCUUUUCAGUGACAUUUUUUUUUACACUGCAUGACAAUGUGAUUUAUAAGUAUGAUUUGAUAUAGUUUGAUGGUUUGAUAUUAGUAUAUGUGGCAUGUAGUAAACAAUGGAAUAGUAAAGUUAUGCCAUA